UCAUCAGUUGAUACAAAGUACAAACAUCAGGUGUUGAGGAAGAAGAAAUUGUAUCCUUGGUGGUGGUUCAUUUUGCAGUUGGCUUUAGACUUUGGCUUAUUCGUAGACUAAAUGCAGACAUCUUGGGUGUGGUUCAACUGUCAGAGGUCUUGGAUGCUUGAUGCUCGGAGAUGGAGUUCGUUUUUUGUCACAGCAAACUUAUGAAAGUGGUCAAUUGCCAAAGCCGAACUUCCGAAAUGCUGUUUUUUGCUUUGCUUUCUGUUUUUUCUACUUGAACUCUUAAACAGUAGAUGUUGUUGUAUGUAUGGAUUUAUUCAGGUCUUAAGACUCUUAAGCCUUAACAGUUAAAGUUUUUAAACUUAGAACUUUCAAGAA